UUAAGCAUAUCAAUAAGCGGAGGAAAAAGAAACCAACCGGGAUUGCCUUAGUAACGGCGAGUGAAGCGGCAAAAGCUCAAAUUUGAAAUCUGGUACCUUCGGUGCCCGAGUUGUAAUUUGGAGAGGGCAACUUUGGGGCCGUUCCUUGUCUAUGUUCCUUGGAACAGGACGUCAUAGAGGGUGAGAAUCCCGUGUGGCGAGGAGUGCGGUUCUUUGUAAAGUGCCUUCGAAGAGUCGAGUUGUUUGGGAAUGCAGCUCUAAGUGGGUGGUAAAUUCCAUCUAAAGCUAAAUAUUGGCGAGAGACCGAUAGCGAACAAGUACAGUGAUGGAAAGAUGAAAAGAACUUUGAAAAGAGAGUGAAAAAGUACGUGAAAUUGUUGAAAGGGAAGGGCAUUUGAUCAGACAUGGUGUUUUGUGCCCUCUGCUCCUUGUGGGUAGGGGAAUCUCGCAUUUCACUGGGCCAGCAUCAGUUUUGGUGGCAGGAUAAAUCCAUAGGAAUGUAGCUUGCCUCGGUAAGUAUUAUAGCCUGUGGGAAUACUGCCAGCUGGGACUGAGGACUGCGACGUAAGUCAAGGAUGCUGGCAUAAUGGUUAUAUGCCGCCCGUCUUGAAACACGGACCAAGGAGUCUAACGUCUAUGCGAGUGUUUGGGUGUAAAACCCAUACGCGUAAUGAAAGUGAACGUAGGUUGGGGCCUCGCAAGAGGUGCACAAUCGACCGAUCCUGAUGUCUUCGGAUGGAUUUGAGUAAGAGCAUAGCUGUUGGGACCCGAAAGAUGGUGAACUAUGCCUGAAUAGGGUGAAGCCAGAGGAAACUCUGGUGGAGGCUCGUAGCGGUUCUGACGUGCAAAUCGAUCGUCGAAUUUGGGUAUAGGGGCGAAAGACUAAUCGAACCAUCUAGUAGCUGGUUCCUGCGAGU
rnacentral:rRNA from 1 species